rnacentral:rRNA from 1 species
UACGUAGGGUGCGAGCGUUAAUCGGAAUUACUGGGCGUAAAGCGUGCGCAGGCGGUUAUGUAAGACAGUUGUGAAAUCCCCGGGCUCAACCUGGGAACUGCAUCCGAGACUGCAUUGCUAGAGUAUGGGAGAGGGAAGCGGAAUUUCUGGUGUAGCAGUGAAAUGCGUAGAUAUCUGGAGGAACACCGGUGGCGAAGGCGGCAUCCUGGACCAACACUGACACUGAGGAGCGAAAGCCAGGGGAGCAAACGGG